AGCAGACUGUGCAGCCGCGGCAGCGCUUUCAUAGCUGACGAGGAAAGUCCGGGCAUCACAGAGCAGGGUAGCUGCUAACGGCAGCCGGAGGCGACUCCAGGGCCAGUGCAACAGAAAUGAGACUGCCCCGUAUCGUCAGAUGCGGAGCGAUGGUGGAAAGGCGGGGUAAGAGCCCGCCAGAGCAUAUGAGAAUAUGCUGCUGUGUAAACCCUACCUGAUGCAACGCUGAUUGGUGCAUAUGUCCGCAACGCCUGCUCGGCGGGACAUAUGCAAAGGCGGCUUGAGCGGCGCGGCGACGCUCCGCCUAGAUAAAUGGCUGUACGAUGUGCAUUCCGCACAGGACAAAACCCGGCUUACAGGUCUGGU
rnacentral:RNase_P_RNA from 1 species